rnacentral:tRNA from 1 species
GCCACGAUAGUGUAGCAUGGUUAGCAUUGGGGACUGUGGAUCCCCCAGCCCGGGUUCAAAUCCCGGUCGUGGCC